UACGUAGGCAGCGAGCGUUGUUCGGAAUUACUGGGCGUAAAGAGUGUGUGGGCGGUGCUCUAAGUCUGUCGUGAAAUCUCCCGGCUUAACCGGGAGGCUGCGGCGGAAACUGGUGUGCUAGAGGGUGGGAGAGGUAAGCGGAAUUCCUGGUGUAGCGGUGAAAUGCGUAGAUAUCAGGAGGAACACCUGCGGUGUAGACAGCUUACUGGACCACUUCUGACGCUGAGACACGAAAGCGUGGGUAGCAAACAGG
rnacentral:rRNA from 1 species